rnacentral:ncRNA from 1 species
UGAGUUUCAUCCUAGCUCAGAAGGAACGCUAGCUAUAUGCUUAACACAUGCAAGUCGAACGUUACAUUCGGGGAGCUGGGUAGAAAGAAAAGACGCUACUAGCUAAAGUGGUCUAACCCUGCUUCAAAACUACAGGGCGCUAGCUACGGCUUUGAUUUUCAGCCUACGUUUGCUAGAAUCGGAAGAGUUGAAAACAAAGUGGCGAACAGGUGCGUAACGCAUGGGAAUCUACCGAAUAGUUUAGGCCAAAUCUUGAAGAAAGCUCAAAAGCGCUAUUUGAUGAGCCUACAUAGUAUUAGGUAGUUGGUUAGGUAAAGGUUGACCAAGCCAAUGAUGCUUAGCUGGUCUUUUUAGAUGAUCAGCCACACUGGAACUGAUACACAGCCCGGACUCCCACAGGGGGUAGCAGUGGGGAAUCUUGGACAAUGGGCAAACGUCUAAUCCAGCAAUAUUGCAUGAGUGAAGAAGGGCAAUGCAGCCUGUAAAGCUCUUUCAUCAAGUGCACAAUCAUGAUAGGACUCGAGGAAGAAGCCCCAACUAACUCUGUGUCAGCAGCCAUGGUAAUACUCGAGGGUGCAAGUGUUCUUUGAAAUGAUUAGGUAUAAAGGGCACGUAGGUAGUGAAUCAUGUUUCAGGUUUAAGUCACCAAAAACUGGCGGAAUGCUCUCAAAACCAAUUCACUUGAGUGAGACAGAGGAGAGUGAAAUUUUAUGUGUAGGGUGAAAUCUAUAGAUCUACGGAGGAAUGCCAAAAGCGAAGGCAGUUCUCUAGGUCCCUACUAACGCUGGGGUGUGAAAGUAUGGGAAGCAAACAAGAUUAGAUACCCUGGUAGUCCAUGCCGUUAAUGAUGAGUGUUCUCCCUUGGUCUAUGUAGAUCGAGGGCCCAGCUAACGCGUGAAACACUCCGCUUGGGGAGUACGAUGGUAAGACUGAAACUAGAAGGAAUUGAUUGGGGCCUACAAGCGGUGUAACAUGUGGUUUAAUUCGAUACAAUGCACAAAACCUUACCAGUCCUUGAUAUAUGAACAACAAAACAUGUUCUUAAUGGGGUGGUACUGACUUUCAUAUAGGUACUGCAUGGCUAUUGUCAGCUCAUGUCAUGAGAGGUAAGGUCAAGUCCUACAAUGAGAGAAACCCUCAUUUUGUGUUGCUAAGACAAGCGUCCUAGGAGAAAUGACAACCGAAACUGAGCCGAGGAGCAGAGUUACAUGCCAGCGCUUCUACUUGACUUGAAUGCCAGCACGCAGCUGUGUUUUCAACAAGAAUUUCACCAUUGGUAGCCGGCGCCUUUCGAAGCGCUUUCAUGUGUGAAUCGAAGUUGUGUUGCAUUACUCGUUCCCCACGGAGACCUACCUAUAGUGACGUCAAAGUACCAGUGACCAUGGCGGUUUUGUUAUACUUGGUUAUGACGACAUCGAGUUGGUGGCGAAGGAAGACUCGGCAUUUAGGCGAGCCUCCUGGUGGUGUGGUACAUAGAGGUAAUAGUACGCGCCCCGCUCUGAAACAAAGAGAAAGGUGUGCGUCGCACUCAUGAGGGAGUGCCAGUGAGAUAUUGGAGAAAGGUGGGGAUGACAUCAAGUCUACAUGGCCCUUAUGGGCUGGGCCACACAUGUGCUACAAUGGCAAUGACAAUGGGAAGCAAGGCUGUAAGGCAGAGCAAAUCUGAAAAGAUUGCCUCAGCAUGGAUUAUUCUCUACAACUCAGGAACAUGAAAUUGGAAUUGCUAGUAAUCGCGGAUCAGCAUGCCACGGUGAAUAUGUACCCAGGCCCUAUACACACAGCCCAUCACACCCUGGAAAUAAGUUUCGCCCGAAGCAUCAGACUAAUGAUCACCCAUGACUACUAUGUACCACUAGUGCCAUAAAGGCUUUUGGUGGUCUUAUUGGUGCAUACCACGGUGGGGUCUUCGACUGGGGUGAAGUCCUAACAAGAUAGCCAUAUGGGAACCUGUGGCUG